GGGAAAAUCCCAGCCCAGGUUUGCAUCCUCUCUGGCCGUCUGCCCCAGCCGCGCUGCCGCCUUCUCCCCAAGCAGUUUCCCAAGCCCCUGGCGUGGCCACAGCCACGUGCUCACCCCCAUCCAGGGCCCUGUCCCUCCUCUGUACAGACUAGGAGGGUGGAGAAGAAUGUGGGGUCCCAUGUGUUCUUUGUGUGCGUGUGUUUGUGAGGGGUGACCGUGUUAUAAGCGCACUGGAUAUGGGGUGUGUUUAUUUGGGCCUCAGAUUUUCUGUCUGUGAAAUGGGAGGUUACUAACUAGGACCUUGCCCACUAGGUUGGUGUGAGAUCAGGCUGCCCUGCAGGUCAUGGGGUUGCAGGGGCCAGGCCUGCAGGAACAUCAUUGCAGGCACCCCUAUCAGAGCAGCCGGUGGGUGGGAGCAUGGCAACCCUAACCCUAACCCUAACUCUAACCCCUGCUCCUAGGGGUGUGCACCUAGCCCCUGCAGUGCCCCCCUGAGGUGUGUCUUUUUUUUUUUUUUGGCUUUUUAGGGCCGUACCCGCGGCAUAUGGAACCGUGUCUGCAACCUACACCACAGCUCACGGCAACGCCAGAUCCUUAAUCCACAGAGCGAGGCCAGGGAUCGAACCUGCAACCUCAUGGUUCCUAGUCAGAUUUGUUUCUGCCACGCCACAGUGGAAACUCCCGUGGCAUGUCUUUGAGAUGGGGCGGCAGGAGGGCGGCAGCCUGUCCUGGGAGGGCUCCGCCCGGCGCCCUCCUCCUUUAUGCACAUUCGCAUGAAUCCUCGCAGUGGGGCUGCAAGGUCUUUAUUGAUGAGGGGACCAGGGAGACAAAGGCCAUUGCCACGGACAGCUGCUCCUAGGGGUGUCACACUCUCGCUUCUACAUAAGCCCUGGGCUGAGCCCUGCUGGGGUCCCCACUGCAGGGUGAGGAACUGGGAGUCUGAGGUGAAGGCCGUGGGGCUGGGAGCCUGGGUUGUCUCACCCCCUGGACCCCACCCCCCACCCCCCACAGGGAGAGAGAACCCCUGGUGCCAAGGUUCCCAGGGAGCCAGGUGCGAGGGACAGAAGGCCCUGGAGCUGACGCCCCGCCCCUGCAGGGGAGCUCACUUGGCGGGAAGGGCGGGCCCUCCAGUGGGUGCCGUCACCUGCAGCCUUGACCUUCCUCCUGGACCCACCUCCUUCUCCCUCUUGGGCAUAGGACCCUGAGGCCUUUCCUCCUGCAGGACAAGCCACUUCUAGAAGUCCUGCAACCAAGGCCCCUCUGACCACCACAGGUCCCCCCAGCACACGUACCCCAGUAGGGCAGGUGGCCUCACCACCCUCCUGUGCCAGCAGGUGCCAACACCUUGCUCGCCGCCCUGCUGAAUCCCCUCAACUGGGGAGGGCGGUGUCCUCCUGUUUCCCGUUUCACAGUUAAAUGACUUGCUCAAGGGCACGCAGCUUUCAGAUGGCAGAGCUGAGGUUUGAACAUCAUUUCAGUUCCAGAGCCCAGGAUGGUAACCACUGGCAUCAUGGCCCCCACUGCACGUGCGUGUGUCUGCGCGUGCGUGCGUGUGUGCGCGUAUGCGUGUGCAUGUUCCUGUGAGCGUGUGUGUGCACACGCACAUACACAGACACACGCACAUGCCGACACUUCCUCCGUCACACCUGUGGGCUUGUGCUCCUGCCUGUACCAUUCGCCUGUCUGUCCUCCUGCCUUUCGUGUCGGGGGCUGUGGUAUUUUUGUCUCGUGAGGCAUUUCACGAGAGCUUUGCGUUUUUCCCUGAGUCUCGCAGACGUCACUGGGAGGAUUAUGUGAAUUAACCUCUGACUCCGCCAUCCCCUGCUUCUCGUGGGAAGGGCCGAUUGCCCUGCCCACCCUGUGUGCCACCCUGGGCCCCGGAAAGUCAAGCUCAGGGCCAGCCACUUCCACGUCUGCCUGAACACACUGUGUCACCCUGUCCCCAGACUGCAGCAGUGAGGCUGGACCUUGCCUUGCUCCUGGUCCCUCUUUCUCUGGGCCACCCUCCCCUGUGUGGUCCCUACUGAGCUCACCUUGUCUGGCAGGAAGAUAGUGCCCCUCCCCCCUCACCUGCGGCCAUCCCUCCUGUCCCACCGUCCUGUCCCCUCUGUCUCUGCUCUUUACACAUCAAAGGCAACGACCCCUUUGCCCCUACACGUCCCUCCCACAGGCGGAUUUCACUCCUGCCAGUGCCCCUCCAGCUUCGCCCACCUUUGCACGGACCUUAUGGCCAGGUGUGUGGACAGUCCUGCCAGCUUUGCACAAUGCUGCAGCUUGAACAUUUCAGUGUGUGUCCAGUCCUGCAUGAAGAGGCUUUCUGAUGGCUGCAUCAUAUCUGUGAAGAUGGCAUAAUUUACCAAAGGACCUGCUUUCCAGUAUUUGGGCUAUUUCUCUUUUUCUCAACUGCAGAUAAUGCCGUCCUGACUGUCCUUAUAGCCAGUCUUUUCCUGAUUUUGAAUUACUUUCUUGGGGCUGGUUUCUAGAACAGGGCUUACUAAGCAGAGAGGAGGGGUAUUUUUUGUGUGACCCUUAGCACAUAUUGCCACCUUGCUCCCCAAAGAGGAAUUUUCUCUAAUGCCUAAGGAGAAGGCUCCGGGCCAGGCUGCCUGGCUUCAAAUCCUGGCUCCACUGCCCACUGGCUGUAUGACCCUGGACUAGUUACUUUCCUCCGUGGGCCUCCUUUCCCUCCUGAAUAAAACAAGGGUCGUAAUAAAACCAAGCUUAUUAGGUUCCUGUCCAAGUUAAAUAGGUGAAUAGUUGAGAACAGCACCUGACAUGUGAAUAACUGUUGGAUCAAUAUUAAUUAUUCUUAUUCUUCUUGAAUGAUCAAGACCUCUGUUUCCUUUUGUGCAGAAGGGUUCCAAAAGACAGGGUUCUAGAAGAAGGGAGGUACACACAUAGCACGCCUGCCACCAACCCCCAGUGAGCCCCUGGCAGGCAUCUCUAAUCAAUCUCUGCGCUCUUUUCCCCUGCGGCAGACUCUUAUUACUGUAGCCCCUGCUGGUCACCCUGAUUUGAAAGAGGGAGUGAAAGCGUCCCACCACCCCUGCUUGAGUGACCUCCUGGACCUGUGGAGAUUGAGAGUUACUGGGAAUCCGUGUCCAUUCCCAUCGGCUCUGGCUCGUGUCUCUCUGGGGCUUGUUCAUGGCAGCUGUCGCUGAGUUGCCUGUUCUCCUCUGCCUGGGAAGGUUGUGAGUGUCACCUGUCCUGCGUCUGAGCAGGGAUGUAAAUCAGGGAAGUGGGGUGAGGAGGGGCAGGAGUUGGCCUCGGUGCUUUCACAGGCCCAGCCGCGCAUCUGCUUCCU
rnacentral:lncRNA from 1 species